UACGGAAGGGGCAAGCGUUGUCCGGAAUCAUUGGGCGUAAAGCGCGCGUAGGCGGCCCGGUAAGUCCGCUGUAAAAGUCAAAGGCUCAACCUUUGAAUGUCAGUGGAUACUGCCGGGCUAGAGUCCGGAAGAGGCGAGUGGAACUCCUGGUGUAGCGGUGGAAUGCGCAGAUAUCAGGAGGAACACCGAUGGCGAAGGCAGGUCUCUGGGCCACUACUGACGCUGAGAAGCGAAAGCAUGGGGAGCGAACAGG
rnacentral:rRNA from 1 species